rnacentral:rRNA from 1 species
GACGAACGCUGGCGGCGUGCUUAACACAUGCAAGUCGAACGCUGAAGCUUGGUGCUUGCACUGGGUGGAUGAGUGGCGAACGGGUGAGUAAUACGUGAGUAACCUGCCCUUGACUCUGGGAUAAGCCUGGGAAACUGGGUCUAAUACUGGAUACGACAUGUCACCGCAUGGUGGUGUGUGGAAAGGGUUUUACUGGUUUUGGAUGGGCUCACGGCCUAUCAGCUUGUUGGUGGGGUAAUGGCUCACCAAGGCGACGACGGGUAGCCGGCCUGAGAGGGUGACCGGCCACACUGGGACUGAGACACGGCCCAGACUCCUACGGGAGGCAGCAGUGGGGAAUAUUGCACAAUGGGCGGAAGCCUGAUGCAGCGACGCCGCGUGAGGGAUGACGGCCUUCGGGUUGUAAACCUCUUUCAGCACGGAAGAAGCGAAAGUGACGGUACUGGCAGAAGAAGCGCCGGCUAACUACGUG